AGGGGUGUCGCCAAGCGGUAAGGCACAGGGUUUUGAUCCCUGCAUACCUAGGUUCGAAUCCUAGCACCCCUGCCA
rnacentral:tRNA from 58 species